CUAACCUCUAUGGGGAUCUGGAGUUCAUCAAACUUGCGGUAUGUUAUGGUGAUUUCAGCAUUUGCCAAGCUAUUUGCAGAGUUACAAGUUGGAGGAGUGGUGCAAGAUACAAACACUAUCGAAGGCAACUUUAUUUGAAACUAGAUUCUAUGUAGAAUCGGAGAGGGGUUCAAAAUCGGAUAAUCGUAUAAUCGUAAAUUGAAUCGUAAGAUUCUACCAUAAAUAGAAAAACAAAAAAAUAGCAUUGAUAUCUUGUAAGUCACAUCAUUUAACAAAAAUUGGAAUAAAAAUUCAUCAGAUUAACAUCCAUAUAAGUCAUAAUCUCAAUCCAAAAUCAUAAGAGUACUAGAACAUGAAAUUAAAAGAUGAAACAGAGACGUAAGAAUGAAGGAAAACAAAGAUGUUGAAGAAUGAAGAGAAAACAUAAGAAGAAGAGACCUAGAUAGAGACUACAGAAAACAGAGCAUGAAUGCGUGAUUCAAUUCACUCUACUAUGAGUGAAUUAAAUAGACAAUUAGAGGUAUGAAAACGGUCAGAUGGGUUGAUUUUUCAAAAUAUACAAUCAGUUAUUAAUUCUUGUCAAUUAACCAUUCAAAUUUGGCAACUACAAUCAAUUAGAGCUUCAAUUUUGAAAUCCCCUAAAUGCUGGGUGGUGGGUUGUUUUUUUCCACAAAGUCAAAAAACUCUCUAGUUUCCCCAAUUUUAGGAAUCAGCUUCAAAAAUUAAAAAAAAUACUAGAAUCGUAAG
rnacentral:lncRNA from 1 species